AGCAACAAAGAUAGAAACACGACCCGGCUGGUAGUCCGGGUGCAGCAAUAUCUGUCAGUAACCUGCCUCCUUGGCUGUCCAAUCUUUGUGUUGAAAAA
rnacentral:ncRNA from 1 species